rnacentral:rRNA from 1 species
GAGAAUCUUCCACAAUGGGCGAAAGCCUGAUGGAGCGACGCUGCGUGUAGGAUGAAGGCCUUAGGGUUGUAAACUACUGUCACGCUAUAGGAACCCGUAGUCGUUAAUAGCGGCUGCGCUGACCAAAGCGAAAGGAAGUGCCGGCUAACUCCGUGCCAGCAGCCGCGGUAAUACGGAGGGCGCAAGCGUUGUUCGGAAUCACUGGGCAUAAAGAGCAUGUAGGCGGUCUUUUAAGUCGGAUGUGAAAGCCCUCGGCCCAACCGGGGAACUGCAUUCGAUACUGAUUGACUCGAGGACAGGAGGGGUGAGUGGAACUUCAGGUGGAACGGUGAAAUGUGUAGAUAUCUGAA